GCCUGGGUGGCUGAGUCAGUUAAGCAUCUGACUUCUGCUCAGGUUCGUGGGUUCAAGCCCAACAUCAGGUG
rnacentral:tRNA from 1 species